rnacentral:sRNA from 1 species
GCUCUUUAGUGUUUUGACGGACUUCGUCUAGUCGGGUGUUUAGCCAGACUCUAACUUAUUGAACGAG